rnacentral:misc_RNA from 1 species
GAAAUGCGAUAAGUAGUGUGAAUUGCAGAAUUCAGUGAAUCAUCGAAUCUUUGAACGCACAUUGCGCCCCUUGGUAUUCCAUGGGGCAUGCCUGUUCGAGCGUCAUUUGUACCCUCAAGCUCUGCUUGGUGUUGGGUGUUUGUCCCGCCUCACGACGUGGACUCGCCUUAAAACAAUUGGCAGCCGGCAUAUUGGCCUGGAGCGCAGCACAAUUGCUCUCUCUAGUCAUGAAUGUUGGCAUCCAUCAAGACCAUUUUUUGCUCUUGACCUCGGAUCAGGUAGGGAUACCCGCUGAACUUAA